GACGAACGCUGGCGGCGUGCUUAACACAUGCAAGUCGAACGAAGUGGCGAACGGGUGAGUAACGCGUAAUCAACCUGCCCUUCAGUGGGGGACAACAGUUGGAAACGACUGCUAAUACCGCAUACUGAAGGUGGGGUUUGCGUUUGAUUAGCUAGUUGGAGGGGUAACGGCCCACCAAGGCGAUGAUUAGUAGCCGGUCCGAGAGGAGGAACGGCCAAAAUGGGACCGGGACACGGCCCAGACUCCUAAGGGAGGCAGCAGUUGGGAAACCUCCGCAAUGGAGGAAAGGCUGACGGAGCAACGCCGCGUGAGGGAUGAAGGCCUUCGGGUUGGAAAGCUCUGUUAAUCGGGACGCGGUACCGGAAUAGAAAGCCACGGCUAACUACGUGCCAGCAGCCGCGGUAAUAC
rnacentral:rRNA from 1 species